rnacentral:rRNA from 1 species
GCGUUAACGAACGAGACCUUGACCUGCUAAAUAGACGGGUUGACAUUUUGUUGGCCCCUUAUGUCUUCUUAGAGGGACAAUCGAACGUCUAGUUGAUGGAGGCAAAAGGCAAUAACAGGUCUGUGAUGCCCUUAGAUGUUCCGGGCUGCACGCGCGCUACACUGACAGAGACAGCGAGUAUCACCCUUGUCCGAAAUGACCGGGUAAACUUGUGAAACUCUGUCGUGCUGGGGAUGGAGCUUUGUAAUUUUUGCUCUUCAACGAGGAAUUCCUAGUAAGCGCAAGUCAUCAGCUUGCGUUGACUACGUCCCUGCCCUUUGUACACACCGCCCGUCGCUAAUACCGAUUGAAUGGCUG